UACGGAGGGUGCGAGCGUUGUCCGGAUUUAUUGGGUUUAAAGGGUGCGUAGGCGGCCCGUUAAGUCCGGGGGUGAAAGCCCGUUGCUCAACAACGGAACUGCCCUGGAUACUGACGGGCUUGAGUACAGACGAGGUUGGCGGAAUGGACCGAGUAGCGGUGAAAUGCAUAGAUACGGUCCAGAACCCCGAUUGCGAAGGCAGCUGACUAGGCUGUUACUGACGCUGAGGCACGACAGCGUGGGGAGCGAACAGG
rnacentral:rRNA from 1 species